GACGAACGCUGGCGGCGUGCCUAAUACAUGCAAGUCGAACGCAGUGGGGACGGGUGAGUAACACGUGGGUAACCUACCAUCAGAGGGGAUAACACUUGGAAACAGGUGCUAAACCGAUACGGAGGGUGGGCCCCGGGGUGCAUUCGCUAGUUGGUGAGGUAACGGCUCACCAAGGCCACGAUGCAUAGCCGACCUGAGAGUGUGUUCGUCCACACUGGGACUGAGCCACGGCCCAGACUCCUACGGGAGGCAGCAGUAGGGAAUCUUCGGCAAUGGACGAAAGUCUGACCGAGCAACGCCGCGUGAGUGAAGAAGGUUUUCGGAUCGUAAAACUCUGUUGUUAGAGCAGCGGUAUCUAACCAGAAAGCCACGGCUAACUACGUGCCAGCAGCCGCGGUAAUUC
rnacentral:rRNA from 1 species